rnacentral:rRNA from 1 species
UGGCGGACGGGUGAGUAACGCGUGGGCAACCUGCCCUGUACCGGGGGAUAACAGCCGGAAACGGCUGCUAAUACCGCAUAAGCGCACGAGAGCGCAUGCUUUUGUGUGAAAAACUCCGGUGGUACGGGAUGGGCCCGCGUCUGAUUAGCUUGUUGGCGGGGUAGAGGCCCACCAAGGCGACGAUCAGUAGCCGACCUGAGAGGGUGACCGGCCACAUUGGGACUGAGACACGGCCCAAACUCCUACGGGAGGCAGCAG